UCAGCCAUGGGGGAGUCCAAUGACAUAACCACUACACCAUCUGCUGGCACCUUGAAUGCUUUUCUAACAUAACUCUCAAGAGUUGUCCUUUAAAAGUCAAGUGCCAUGUACAAUGUUCUCAUUUGUUUUUCACUAUGGAACCAAAUUCUGUGAUUUGCAGUAGAAAUGAACUUUGGUUUCAGAUUAUUGUACAGCCUAGUUUUGAAUAAGAGUGGAUUCAUAGGUCCAGCCUCUGGCACAGUCAAUAGGGUACCAUACUAUAGAGCUAGACCCUAUGAUCCAAUCAUGGUUCAAAUCCCCAGCCCAUUCAGCUUGAAAACAUUCUGGCACCUUUGUGCGUAUGUGCCCAGGAUCCUGGUGGGCUGGAAGACUGGAGGAAAGCAAUCAUUGUGUGACCAAGCUAGUGAACAGUGCUUCUGUCUUUGUGUACGCACAUGAUCUACCAUGAAUUAAAAAAAAAAAAAUUUUCUAGAGAAAUGAAGUGAGAACAAAGACAUACAAAAUACAAACCCAAAUUUUAUUCAAUUUGACAGAAACAAAUACUCCAUAUUGCUUUAACAGUUUCUAAAUGCUUCCUAUUAAUACCUGUAUUUACUUUUUCCCCAGACAAUUAACAUUUGGCACUGGCCCAAGGACCACACUUUGAAUAACACUGAAAAAUUUUUAUAGCACAAAUUCAAGUCAGCAGAACCUGGGUUCAAAUUCUGACUCAGUUAUUACUAGCAAGGUAGCCAUGAAAAGACCAAUUAACCUUCCUAUGCUCCAGUUUACUCAUCUGUAUCAUGUAAAUAGCUGUCUGUGAUUAUGCUUUUAUGAUAAUGUAUUAAUGUACUAACUUCUCAGCAAGAAUAAAUGUCAGCUGAAACAAUUUCAUAAUUGGUAUAUUUACAUACAGUAUCUUAUAUGUUUUUCCAUGAACAGAAAGAAUGCAUCCAGUUGACCAUCCAGUACUUGAAGGAUCCGGAAAGUGUAUUUGAUGGCCCUACUGGAAGCAUUACCACUUGAAGUCUUUUAACAAAAACCUGUCCUUUCUGGGUAGUGCACCUUCUUCCUCUGCACUGGCGGCUCUAGUGGGAGGAGGGAGAACUAUAGGAAACAGUGAAGGAGUAAUAAGGUACUUAUUUGCUCAGACAUGUCUGCAGCCAGAUUCUUCUCUGCCCCAGCUGUUUGAAGAACCCAGUGUUGAAGCACUGUGCUGUCAGCAAAGUCUCGGUGAUUACAAAGCCCAGGAAAGAUGGGCAGGUAAACUAUAUUGACAAGAUCAAGGAUGACAGUUUGUUCUCUGAUUAAUCAUCAUUGCUACCAAUCAUUUUGACCUUACUAUGCCAAACAUGCAUGACUUCAAUCUUUACCGCAAUCCUGACAGUUGAAUCAUUUUAGAUACUAAAAUUAAGGUUUAGAGAUGUCAAAGAUUCUUAAAUCACAAAAGCCAGUAAUUGACUAGUUCCAGAAAUGUGUAUUUUUUAACUCUGUAUUUACUAUACCUGGAAACACAACCACUUCACUUUAUUUACACUACUGUAAAAAUUUUGUUUAUUCCCAUAGAUUGAAUCUUUUACCCUUUGGUGUCAUGGAGCCAACUUACAAAACAAAAACUGAAUGUACUGGCAUAAAUUUUAUUCAGUGGCUGAGAAGUGGAGUAGCAGGAGCUGAACUCACAAAUUGACUUCUUACCUGUCUUGAGCUGGGCAGUUUAAGAUACAGCAAAUAGGGUAAAACAGAAUAGGGUAAUAGAGGGAAGGAACAGAGCUUUUCUGGAAAACAGGGAUUUCCUGGAAUUCCAAACCCCUCUUCCUUUUUCUCCUUAUUAAGUUGUUUGCAGCGCUAUACUUGGUGAUUGUUAACUGUCAUGGCACUGGUGGGUGUGUCAUUUAGCACAUUCUGGGGUCUUUCAGAAGUCAUUAUGGUAGCCAUCUUGGAUUGCAGUGGUACAGUUGAUUCUUAGAGGAAAUACACUGUCUGAUCUACACAGAUGCAGUCUAUUAAAAAAAAAAUUAGGGAGGGGCUAGGGCAUGGUAUGAGCACAGGCUAAAUGGGGGUGACACUAGGGUGUCCAGUUAAGUCUUCAAAGGUAGGUAAAUGGAUAUAAUCAGACUACUAGGAUCUAGUUCCAAAGUUAUAAAAGCUAUAAAAGCUGUCGUCAGUCUAAACUGCCAAAAAGCACUUAAAAGAAAAAUGAAAUUACCA